GCGAGUGAUUUCCCCGGUGGUGUAGAGGCUCCCCCGGCGGCCGACGCGUCCGCCGCCGGCGAUCCCAGCCGCAUCAGCCUUCCCCUCCGGUUAGGCGCGCGCGAUCCUCUCCGCGGGUUGAUAGGAGGGAGACCACGGUGUGGAGAUAGGGAGUGGAGAGAGAGCGUACUCGCUGGAAGACUGGUCUCGCCCGCCAGGUGUUCGACGCAAUGUUGCGCCGGGAUCCAGGGCAAAUGCCCAACAGUCCAAGACACCGUCGUUCUUGCGGGUGGUGAGGGCUUGAUACGGUGGAACCUGUCUCAAACAUCAUGUGUCUGUGUCUUCUGCUUACCAUCAUACCGUGAAUCAUCUAUAUGCAAUUAUGGGCUGUGCAAUUGGGCUUAGACCUCUACCUCUAAGUUGGAUUUUGUGUGUCAUUUGGCAUGUGCGGACUUUGGCGAAAAAGCUGCUUGAACCAUUGACUUCAUGCAUGUUCCAGAUUAAUCAACCAGGUCCUGCUUCAUACAAUCUGGGAAUAGCAAACUAAUUGGUAAUGAAUGUCGAUCUUAAUCAGUACCUGGAAAUAGCAAAUCAGACGAGAAAUUUAGUUAAUGCCAGAUCUGGUGCGAUUCAUGGCUAGUCAAUAGAGGAAAAUAAUUUACCAACCUUGUUAUAUUAUUCAGAAUAUGUCAGCUCAAUUGUGCACCUACCACCUACCAUGUCUUCAGUCAACAUAUCUGGAGAUCUUCACAAAUCAGGUUUCAACUCAUCCUUUACUAUUUGGUGAUUGUACUGUAUUGACUGAGCAUCCCCCAAAACAUAAAACGGUGACAUUUCUUAAUUUGGUUGACUUUUUGAGGUGAUUAGCAUGGCUGUCCUUCAGUAAUUCAUGUGGUUGAUUUCACCUAUUGUGAAUUGUCACCCGGAUAUGGUAGCUGAUGAUGCUGGAACGUUCUAUCAAAGGGUACAGUGACUAGUUUUGGCCUUUUGGAAUUUGGAUUCAGAAGCCCUAUGCGUAGAUUUUCUGUCAAUGGUGGAGAGUGUUCAAGGACUUGAAAGGAGUUACAUGACUAUAAUGCUGUUUUCUUCUUGGAUAAAUUCUCAAUUGAUAUUGGGAACUUUCAGGGAGGAGAGUGCUAAUGCACUAUUCCUAUUUUAUUGGAACUAUAGGGGAAGUUGAAGAGCAUAGCGGGCGAUUGUUUGACUUAU